ACACUCCUACGGGAGGCAGCAGUGGGGAAUAUUGCACAAUGGGCGCAAGCCUGAUGCAGCCAUGCCGCGUGUAUGAAGAAGGCCUUCGGGUUGUAAAGUACUUUCAGCGGGGAGGAAGGCGAUAAGGUUAAUAACCUUGUUGAUUGACGUUACCCGCAGAAGAAGCACCGGCUAACUCCGUGCCAGCAGCCGCGGUAAUACGGAGGGUGCAAGCGUUAAUCGGAAUUACUGGGCGUAAAGCGCACGCAGGCGGUCUGUCAAGUCGGAUGUGAAAUCCCCGGGCUCAACCUGGGAACUGCAUUCGAAACUGGCAGGCUAGAGUCUUGUAGAGGGGGGUAGAAUUCCAGGUGUAGCGGUGAAAUGCGUAGAGAUCUGGAGGAAUACCGGUGGCGAAGGCGGCCCCCUGGACAAAGACUGACGCUCAGGUGCGAAAGCGUGGGGAGCAAACAGGAUUAGAAACCCGGGUAGUCCCAUG
rnacentral:rRNA from 1 species